GGCAACCCUGGUGGCGAGUGGCGAACGGGUGAGUAAUGAAUCGGAACGUGCCCGGUAGUGGGGGAUAACCAGUCGAAAGACUGGCUAAUACCGCAUACGACCUACGGGUGAAAGCGGGGGACCGUAAUGCCUCGCGCUAUCGGAGCGGCCGAUUUCCGAUUAGCUAGUUGGUGAGGUAAAGGCUCACCAACGCGAUGAUCGGUAGCUGGUCUG
rnacentral:rRNA from 1 species